rnacentral:rRNA from 1 species
UUAAGCGACUAAGCGUACACGGUGGAUGCCCUGGCAGUCAGAGGCGAUGAAGGACGUGCUAAUCUGCGAAAAGCGUCGGUAAGGUGAUAUGAACCGUUANNNCCGGCGAUGUCCGAAUGGGGAAACCCAGUGCAAUUCGUUGCACUAUCGUUAACUGAAUACAUAGGUUAACGAGGCGAACCGGGGGAACUGAAACAUCUAAGUACCCCGAGGAAAAGAAAUCAACCGAGAUUCCCCCAGUAGCGGCGAGCGAACGGGGAGCAGCCCAGAGUCUGAAUCAGCUUGUGUGUUAGUGGAACGGUCUGGAAAGUCCGACGGUACAGGGUGAUAGUCCCGUACACCAAAAUGCACAGGCUGUGAACUCGAAGAGUAGGGCGGGACACGUGGUAUCCUGUCUGAAUAUGGGGGGACCAUCCUCCAAGGCUAAAUACUCCUGACUGACCGAUAGUGAACCAGUACCGUGAGGGAAAGGCGAAAAGAACCCCGGCGAGGGGAGUGAAAAAGAACCUGAAACCGUGUACGUACAAGCAGUGGGAGCACCUUCGGGUGUGACUGCGUACCUUUUGUAUAAUGGGUCAGCGACUUAUAUUCUGUAGCAAGGUUAACCGUAUAGGGGAGCCGCAGGGAAACCGAGUCUUAACUGGGCGUUAAGUUGCAGGGUAUAGACCCGAAACCCGGUGAUCUAGCCAUGGGCAGGUUGAAGGUUGGGUAACACUAACUGGAGGACCGAACCGACUAAUGUUGAAAAAUUAGCGGAUGACUUGUGGCUGGGGGUGAAAGGCCAAUCAAACCGGGAGAUAGCUGGUUCUCCCCGAAAGCUAUUUAGGUAGCGCCUCGUGAAUUCAUCUUCGGGGGUAGAGCACUGUUUCGGCUAGGGGGUCAUCCCGACUUACCAACCCGAUGCAAACUACGAAUACCGAAGAAUGUUAUCACGGGAGACACACGGCGGGUGCUAACGUCCGUCGUGAAGAGGGAAACAACCCAGACCGCCAGCUAAGGUCCCAAAGUCAUGGUUAAGUGGGAAACGAUGUGGGAAGGCACAGACAGCCAGGAUGUUGGCUUAGAAGCAGCCAUCAUUUAAAGAAAGCGUAAUAGCUCACUGGUCGAGUCGGCCUGCGCGGAAGAUGUAACGGGGCUAAACCAUGCACCGAAGCUGCGGCAGCGACACUAUGUGUUGUUGGGUAGGGGAGCGUUCUGUAAGCCUGCGAAGGUGUGCUGUGAGGCAUGCUGGAGGUAUCAGAAGUGCGAAUGCUGACAUAAGUAACGAUAAAGCGGGUGAAAAGCCCGCUCGCCGGAAGACCAAGGGUUCCUGUCCAACGUUAAUCGGGGCAGGGUGAGUCGACCCCUAAGGCGAGGCCGAAAGGCGUAGUCGAUGGGAAACAGGUUAAUAUUCCUGUACUUGGUGUUACUGCGAAGGGGGGACGGAGAAGGCUAUGUUAGCCGGGCGACGGUUGUCCCGGUUUAAGCAUGUAGGCUGAUUGUCCAGGCAAAUCCGGAUAAUCAAGGCUGAGGUGUGAUGACGAGGCACUACGGUGCUGAAGUAACAAAUGCCCUGCUUCCAGGAAAAGCCUCUAAGCAUCAGGUAACAUUAAAUCGUACCCCAAACCGACACAGGUGGUCAGGUAGAGAAUACCAAGGCGCUUGAGAGAACUCGGGUGAAGGAACUAGGCAAAAUGGUGCCGUAACUUCGGGAGAAGGCACGCUGGUGUGUAGGUGAAGUCCCUGCGGAUGGAGCUGAGACCAGUCGAAGAUACCAGCUGGCUGCAACUGUUUAUUAAAAACACAGCACUGUGCAAACACGAAAGUGGACGUAUACGGUGUGACGCCUGCCCGGUGCCGGAAGGUUAAUUGAUGGGGUUAUCCGUAAGGAGAAGCUCUUGAUCGAAGCCCCGGUAAACGGCGGCCGUAACUAUAACGGUCCUAAGGUAGCGAAAUUCCUUGUCGGGUAAGUUCCGACCUGCACGAAUGGCGUAAUGAUGGCCAGGCUGUCUCCACCCGAGACUCAGUGAAAUUGAACUCGCUGUGAAGAUGCAGUGUACCCGCGGCAAGACGGAAAGACCCCGUGAACCUUUACUAUAGCUUGACACUGAACAUUGAGCCUUGAUGUGUAGGAUAGGUGGGAGGCUUUGAAGCGUGGACGCCAGUCUGCGUGGAGCCAACCUUGAAAUACCACCCUUUAAUGUUUGAUGUUCUAACGUUGGCCCCUGACCGGGGUUGCGGACAGUGUCUGGUGGGUAGUUUGACUGGGGCGGUCUCCUCCCAAAGCGUAACGGAGGAGCACGAAGGUUAGCUAAUCCUGGUCGGACAUCAGGAGGUUAGUGCAAUGGCAUAAGCUAGCUUGACUGCGAGCGUGACGGCGCGAGCAGGUGCGAAAGCAGGUCAUAGUGAUCCGGUGGUUCUGAAUGGAAGGGCCAUCGCUCAACGGAUAAAAGGUACUCCGGGGAUAACAGGCUGAUACCGCCCAAGAGUUCAUAUCGACGGCGGUGUUUGGCACCUCGAUGUCGGCUCAUCACAUCCUGGGGCUGAAGUAGGUCCCAAGGGUAUGGCUGUUCGCCAUUUAAAGUGGUACGCGAGCUGGGUUUAGAACGUCGUGAGACAGUUCGGUCCCUAUCUGCCGUGGGCGCUGGAGAAUUGAGGGGGGCUGCUCCUAGUACGAGAGGACCGGAGUGGACGCAUCACUGGUGUUCGGGUUGUCAUGCCAAUGGCACUGCCCGGUAGCUAAAUGCGGAAGAGAUAAGUGCUGAAAGCAUCUAAGCACGAAACUUGCCCCGAGAUGAGUUCUCCCUGAGACUUUAAGUCUCCUGAAGGAACGUUAAAGACGAUGACGUUGAUAGGCCGGGUGUGUAAGCGCAGCGAUGCGUUGAGCUAACCGGUACUAAUGAACCGUGAGGCUUAACCUU